GGGAGCCCUUCCCGAGCGCCGCCCGCCCCCGCCCGGUCCCCGUAGCGGCCGGGCCGAGGGGGGCGAGCGGCCCCGGCGGGAGGCGGACGGGGAGCCACUUACUGCGCCGCUGCCCCGCGGGGGGACUUCGCCUCUUCCCGGCUCUUCCCGGCUCGACAGGGGACCCAGCUCCUGCGAUCGCGGCCGCGGCGAGUCGGGACGGCGCAGGGCUCCUCGCAGAUGAAGCCCUUUUUAUCCCAUGGAAAAUGUGUGGUCAGGAAGGAGACGAUAUAUCUGUGGAAACUUGUCCAUGAAGAGGUGGAGCCAUAUAAAUUUCUACAAGUGCUGACUAUUUUCUGAAGUGAAUUUGGAGGAUGUUCCUGAGUGUUCCUAACCCAUAUGGCCUGGGUAUUUUUGCCAUCUACUGUAUAUUGGAUUUUUCUCCUCGGUCAGGUCCUGUACCAAAGCGUUGUGCAAACUUGUGGAUAUGACUUCAGGAAGUUCAAUUGUAAAGUAAAUCGUCAAAUGCCUACAUUGAUAACAGUGGUUCUGGGCCUGAAAGAGAAGGAGACGAGAUGCUUGUGUGCUGUUAAAAUUGAAGCCCUGUUAAAUGGAGUUGCAUAUACUGACAAGUUCUCUUUUGUUUCAAAUCCUCUGGAUGUACAGUUUCUCUCCCGUCAAUGAAACAAGCUCAAGCCAUCUUCUUGAGCCUCUUUGGGCCCUCUUGGCAAGGACAGGGGUGUUUCCUCUUGGAAGAAAGCAGCAGGAUGCCACAGGAGUGGUAAGUUUUAUUGGAGGCUGAGUGGGCAGAUGGCAGAGCCCUGUGCUCCAGGCUGCCACUGCCCUCACCUGUGCAUAUCAAUCCUGUUCUCCAGGCAAAAUGAAUUGGAAGACAAAUCUCCUGACAACAAACUGUCUCCCUUCCUUUCAAGCAAUCCCUGUGGGGCUAGCCCUUCUCCAUAGAUCGUGGGCCCUUGAGGAGAUGAGUGGCAGCAAUCUGGUUCUUGUUCCCUGCAUGUGAGUGCUCUGCCUACAGCAAAGAUAUAACCAGAAAGUGAAAAUUGAGGGCUUGGAUCCUUUCAAGCCAAGGAUAGAAAUCCUUUCAGUUCUGGAUGAUGGUUUUAAAUAUGAGGCUAAUUGCAUAUUGCUAGGGACG
rnacentral:lncRNA from 1 species